UACGGAGGGGGCUAGCGUUGUUCGGAAUUACUGGGCGUAAAGCGCUCGCAGGCGGCUCGAUGCGUCGUGCGUGAAACACCCCGGCUCAACUGGGGAGGGUCACGCGAUACUGAUCGACUCGAAGGCAGGAGAGGGUAGUGGAAUUCCCGGUGUAGUGGUGAAAUGCGUAGAUAUCGGGAGGAACACCAGUGGCGAAGGCGACUUCCUGGCCUGUUCUUGACGCUGAGGCGCGAAAGCUAGGGUAGCAAACGGG
rnacentral:rRNA from 1 species